rnacentral:misc_RNA from 1 species
CAAUAUAAGAUAUAUUUUGCUCAUUGUGGAUUUAUAUGUCCAUAUUUGCUGUAUAUUAAAUCGUGUAUAUUUUAUAUUACCUUCUUGUUAUUAGGUUAUUAGUUGUGUAACUCCAGUUACUGAUCUAUGGAAAGUGGUGAGACGUCUUCACGAGAUACAAUUUCAUUCGUUUUCUUCCCUUGUAUUGGCACGCUGUGAAUGGUGUCGACUUCCAGAUGAGGUUUGUGCAUCUUGAUUAUUAUGCGUUUAAUGAUAGAUACGGAGGUAUCUUUGUCAGAGGUUCCCAUGCGGACUGUCUCGUGCAAGAAGAAGAAGGAUUGUAAAGAAUCCGUAAGUGGCCCCAGAAGACGCAAUCAUCGUGUGAGGUGUUGUCGGCAGGAACGAAGAAUCGAAGUUGUUGAAGGAUUCUUGAAACCCUACUUCCGAUGGCAAACCGAGCAAUUCACAACUACGUUUCCACAA